rnacentral:rRNA from 1 species
ACUCCUACGGGAGGCAGCAGUGGGGAAUAUUGCACAAUGGGCGCAAGCCUGAUGCAGCCAUGCCGCGUGUAUGAAAGGCAAGGCCUUCGGGUUGUAAAGUACUUUCAGCAGUGAGGAAGGUGGAGUCGUUAAUAGCGGCCCUAUUGACUGUUGACUGCAGAAGAAGCACCGGCUAACUCCGUGCCAGCAGCCGCGGUAAUACGGAGGGUGCGAGCGUUAAUCGGAAUUACUGGGCGUAAAGCGCAUGCAGGUGGUUUGUUAAGUCAGAUGUGAAAGCCCGGGGCUCAACCUCGGAAUA